AAAAAUUUAGUUAAAAUAUAACAUUAGUUUGUCAAGCUAAAAUUAUCAUAAGAUAAUUUUUA
rnacentral:tRNA from 1 species